AGAGUUUGAUCAUGGCUCAGAGUGAACGCUGGCGGCAUGCCUAACACAUGCAAGUCGAACGGUAACAGGCCCGCAAGGGUGCUGACGAGUGGCGGACGGGUGAGGAAUACAUCGGAAUUUGCCCAGUCGUGGGGGAUAACGUAGGGAAACUUACGCUAAUACCGCAUACGACCUAACGGUGAAAGCGGGGGAUCAGCAAUGACCUCGCGCGGAUGGAUAAGCCGAUGUCGGAUUAGCUAGUUGGCGGGGUAAAGGCCCACCAAGGCGACGAUCCGUAGCUGGUCUGAGAGGAUGAUCAGCCACACUGGGACUGAGACACGGCCCAGACUCCUACGGGAGGCGGCAGUGGGGAAUAUUGGACAAUGGGGGCAACCCUGAUCCAGCAAUGCCGCGUGUGUGAAGAAGGCCUUCGGGUUGUAAAGCACUUUUAUCCGGAACGAAACGCGCAGGGCGAAUACCCUUGCGAACUGACGGUACCGGAGGAAUAAGCACCGGCUAACUUCGUGCCAGCAGCCGCGGUAAUACGAAGGGUGCAAGCGUUACUCGGAAUUACUGGGCGUAAAGCGUGUGCAGGUGGUUUGUUAAGUCUGCUGUGAAAGCCCCGGGCUCAACCUGGGAAUGGCAGUGGAGACUGGCAAGCUAGAGUGCGGUAGAGGAUAGUGGAAUUCCCGGUGUAGCGGUGAAAUGCGUAGAGAUCGGGAGGAACACCAGUGGCGAAGGCGGCUAUCUGGACCAGCACUGACCUCAGACACGAAAGCGUGGGGAGCAAACAGGAUUAGAUACCCUAGUAGUCC
rnacentral:rRNA from 1 species